rnacentral:rRNA from 1 species
CCUACGGGAGGCAGCAGUGGGGAAUAUUGGGCAAUGGGCGCAAGCCUGACCCAGCAACGCCGCGUGAAGGAAGAAGGCUUUCGGGUUGUAAACUUCUUUUCUGAGGGACGAAGAAAGUGACGGUACCUCAGGAAUAAGCCACGGCUAACUACGUGCCAGCAGCCGCGGUAAUACGUAGGUGGCAAGCGUUAUCCGGCUUUCUUGGGGGUAAAGGGCGGGUAGGCGGGAGUGCAAGUCAGAUGUGAAAACUCAGGGCCCAACCCUGAGCCUGCAUUUGAAACUGUUUUUCUUGAGUGCUGGAGAGGCAAUCGGAAUUCCGUGUGUAGCGGGGAAAUGCGUAGAUAUACGGAGGAACACCAGUGGCGAAGGCGGAUUUCUGGACAGUAACUGACGCUGAGGCGCGAAAGCGUGGGGAGCAAACAGGAUUAGAUACCCGGGUAGUC